UACGUAGGGUGCAAGCGUUGUCCGGAAUUAUUGGGCGUAAAGAGCUCGUAGGCGGUUUGUUGCGUCGGCUGUGAAAUCCCGAGGCUCAACCUCGGGUCUGCAGUCGAUACGAGCAAACUAGAGUGUUGCAGGGGAGACUGGAAUUCCUGGUGUAGCGGUGAAAUGCACAGAUAUCAGGAGGAACACCGGUGGCGAAGGCGGGUCUCUGGGCAACAACUGACGCUGAGGAGCGAAAGCGUGGGGAGCGAACAGG
rnacentral:rRNA from 1 species